rnacentral:tRNA from 1 species
GGAUCGCUAGCUCAGUUGGUAGAGCAGGUGACUCUUAAUCACCGGGUCAACAGUUCGAGUCUGUUGCGAUCCACCA